GGAUUAGAUACCCUGGUAGUCCACGCCGUAAACGAUGAUAACUAGCUGUCCGGGGACUUGGUCUUUGGGUGGCGCAGCUAACGCAUUAAGUUAUCCGCCUGGGGAGUACGGCCGCAAGGUUAAAACUCAAAUGAAUUGACGGGGGCCUGCACAAGCGGUGGAGCAUGUGGUUUAAUUCGAAGCAACGCGCAGAACCUUACCAGCGUUUGACAUGUCCGGACGAUUUCCAGAGAUGGAUCUCUUCCCUUCGGGGACUGGAACACAGGUGCUGCAUGGCUGUCGUCAGCUCGUGCC
rnacentral:rRNA from 1 species